rnacentral:lncRNA from 1 species
AUUAAUUUUCUUUUUUUUCCAAUAGGUUUUUGGGGAACAGGUGGUGUUUGGUUACAAGAAUACAUUCUUCAGUGGUGAUUUCUGAGAUUUUGGUGCACCCAUUAUCUGAGCAGGUGGUCAAGGUUGACAUGAUGUGAUGAGGACAGUGCUUAACUCUGUGGUCUCCCUCCCGCAAACCCACAACCCCAGUCGAACCGUGAGAGACACCAGACAAACCCCAACUGAAGGACUUUCUAUAACAUACCCAACCAGUCCUCUGCAAAACUGUCAAGGUCGUCAAGAACCAAGAAAGCCUAAGAAACUCACAACCAAGAGGAGUCCAAGGCGACAGGAUGGCUAAGUGAAACGCGGCACCCUGGAUGGGAUCCUGGGACAGAAACAGGACGCGAGGGAAAUACUGGGGACAUCUGAAUGAAACAUGGGCUCUAAUAAUAAUCUAUGACAACAUGGGCCCAUUAAUUGUGGCAAAC